CCUACGGGAGGCAGCAGUAGGGAAUAUUACUCAAUGGGGGAAACCCUGAAGCAGCAACGCCGCGUGGAGGAUGAAGGUUUUCGGAUUUUAAACUCCUUUUGUUAGAGAAGAUAAUGACGGUAUCUAACGAAUAACCACCGGCUACCUCCGGGCCAGCAACCGCGGUAAUACGGGGGGUGCAAGCGUUACUCGGAAUCACUGGGCGGAAAGAGCGCGUAGGCGGGAUAGCAAGUCAGAUGUGAAAUCCUAUGGCUUAACCAUAGAACUGCAUUUGAAACUGGUAUUCUAGAGUAUGGGAGAGGUAGGUGGAAUUCUUGGUGUAGGGGUAAAAUCCGUAGAGAUCAAGAGGAAUACUCAUUGCGAAGGCGACCUGCUAGAACAUAACUGACGCUGAUGCGCGAAAGCGUGGGGAGCAAACAGGAUUAGAUACCCCGGUAGUC
rnacentral:rRNA from 1 species